GACCAGACCUCAUCUUUAAAAAAAAAAAAAAAAAAAAUGGAUAAACCUGAGCCAGUCUGAGGACCGUGAAAGUACUUUCAUUCUACUUUACCUGUGGAGGAAGCUGAUCUUCCAAAUUCCCCUAUUUUGCUGUUGACUUGAACUGAGUGAUAAAAUACUAUCCAAGCAAAGGAAGGAGAAAAAGGUUAUGUCCCAGGUCCAGUUUAAAAAUUGCCAUCCUGUUUAACCUUGAGUAGUGAUGGGAUCAUUUGACACCAAUAAUAAUGUCAGAAAUUUCUGUUUAUGUAGCUUUCAUCUUGAAGGUGUACCUAAAUUGACAUAAGAUAGAUCUUAUGUUUCUGAUUAUUAGGUCAGCCUCAAAGCAUAGUUAUGCUAAUUUCUAAAGAGCCUCACAAUUUUAUAAGUAUUUUGUAAUCAGAAGUAAUGAAGCUAAAUAGUAUAGAGAUAUAUUUAGGCAUAGAUUUUUUUUUAUUUUUUAUCAGAUUUUUAAACCACAAUGUUCUCUGUGUAAUAUACUCAUGAAUAGGCUAAGAUGAGCAUUUACAUUUGGUUGUAUACAUAAUUACAGUUAUAUCAUUAACAGAAAAUACAUUCAGAGAACACCUAAGGAAAAUUAUUAUUGGUUCUAAAUGUUAAGCUCUAAUUUAAGAUAAGCGUUCUAAAUAGAACGAUUUUAUUAUUUCCUGAAAAGUGCUUAGAAGACAGAAAUGUGUAGUUUCUUUGUGGCUGUUUGAUUCUACAUUUUACAGCAUUACAACAACUUCAGAGUAAAGUCUUUUUAGCAAAUACUUGAUGUUUCCAGUUUUCAUUGGUUUUAUUUUGCAUUCAUGGAAGGUAUAUAGCUAGCAAUUGUCUCAUGACAUAGAUAUACCUGCUCAGCUAGAUUAAAUUUUUCCCAGGUUUUAGCUUUGGCACACAUGGCUUAUUUUUAAAUUGUGAUCAUAGAAUUGUCUAAUCUAAGGAAUUUGCUACUGAUCUGUUUGGGAGUUUUCUUUUCAGAAUACGUAAGGCCUGAAUUUAUCUCUUAGAAAAGCUAUUACAGCUUUUUAAAUAAAUUAACUUAUUCAUUUGGCAAAGAGUGAGUACCCUAAGGUCCAGAUACUGUUCUAGACAUUGAGGCUAUGGCAGUAAAAAAAAAGUGUUCCUGCCCCUAUGGAGAAUAUCGUUCAUGUAAGAUGCUUGUGUUAGUAAAGCCACUCUUGCCCUUUGCUGCAUUAUUUCUUACUAACUUUCUAUUCUCAGAAAGUAAAUGAGUGGUUUUGGACUAGAAAAGCCUACGUUGCUAAAUGUCAGGCACUAUCAGAGAGCAACUGUUGUAUUACUCCCCAUUUAAGUUAUUACUGACUAGAGAAUGUAUAAAACACCCGACUUUGACUCUUGUCUAUUCAAGAGCAGUUUUCCAAAUCUAUUAAAUUUUAAGCCUAGAUUUUACUUUUACUUCAUGGAAUUAUUUACGAGAAAGAUGUUUAGAAACAUUUUGGUUUUUUGCAUUUACUUUAUUACUUUGACACUUGUAAACCAUGGUGGUUUUUUGUGAUUUAAGCAGUUGCAGUAUGAUUCUUUCCAAGUUUAUUUUAAAAAGGAUUGGGGGCUAUAUAAGAACGGAUAAAAUAUAGUUCUGUUGUAGUAGAAAAAACAGACACACUGUAUAUAUCAUAAGAAACCUGUAUCUAAGUCUUAAAAGCAAUGUGGAAGGUAGCAGGUAGCCUCGUGUCAUCAAAAGGCUUUGUUGAGGAAGUGACGUUUAAUCUGUAUUAAAGGUGAAUGGCCCAUGGUUAGGGGAGGGCCUCAAGAAGUAUAAGGGCAUAAUAUAUCAUAAACAAGGGAAGUAAGUGAUUUGAGGAGGUUGAAGUAUAUAGACGUAUGCAGAGCAGUAUUUUUAAAACUUUUUUUUAAAAGAUAAGUUUGAAGAGUUAGUUCAGGACCCAGUACUAACGCUAUUUGGAUCUUGUCUCAUUGGCAGUAGAAAAGUGUAAAGAUCUAGCAAAAAAAAAAAAAACAAACAGUAAAACUUGAUGAUCAAGUUGGCAAUAAGGAGCAAAAAA